AGGGAGACAAACAACGAUUUUGAUGUCUGAGUACUUAAUUCUUAGGUCGAAAUCCUGUCACCUUAGGUCGAUCGGUACCUCAAUUUUGAAAUCAAGAAUGCACAGCAAUGUGAAUUGCUUAAUGGAGAUUUUCAGUUCCUAAACUUUGUCUAGGUCACACCCCAAAAGGGAUGAGACUCCUGGGCCAUUAGCUCAGGUGGUUAGAGCGCACCCCUGAUAAGGGUGAGGUCCCUGGUUCAAGUCCAGGAUGGCCCAUUCGGUGUUGGGGGUUUAGCUCAGUUGGUAGAGCGCCUGCUUCGCAAGCAGGAUGUCAGGAGUUCGAGUCUCCUAACCUCCACUGACCGAACUUUGUCCCCAUCUCCAGAAUAUGGAGUUGAGCUCGAUUGGAGUGUGAUUUAGAUUUGUCCGCUGGAUGACCCCAGCUUCCUGUCAUUCCGAUGAAUGCAGUCAAGCAAUUGACUGAAUGCAUUGGUUGAUAAGAUGCUGGGCUCGAGUCAGGUUAUCAAGCAAUUGAUGAUCUGAUUUGUGCUCUAGCAGAACCUUGACAACUGCAUAGGUGAGUCUGGAAAAAACAAAGCAUCUUACAGAUGCAUUGUUUUGAAUCUGAUCUUCCGCAAGGGAGAUUGGAUCUAGAACAAUGAAAAUUCUUUUGAGCAAGAGCCGAGACUCUUGAGCGUUCUUUGAUUCGUGUCGAGCGAAUCAGAGUUUGAUUUUGUUUUAGGAAUCAACGAAAGUUGGUGAUUAAAACCUAAGAAUCUGCUUUCAACGGCGGUAAGCGUUCAGGAGGUUAAUU
rnacentral:tRNA from 1 species